GCAGACUCACUCUGUGCCUGACUGCAUAAUCCAGCCUGGUGCUAUUUCUGUCUGCUAUAUUAGCUGCCCAGAAUAUCACAAGCACUUAUCUCUAUAUAGGUUAUUGUUGGGUAAUCUGGC